rnacentral:tRNA from 1 species
GCACCGUUCGUCUAGGGGUUAGGACGCAUCCCUUUCACGGAUGAAACACGGGUUCGAUUCCCGUACGGUGUACGA